UACAGAGGUCCCAAGCGUUGUUCGGAUUCAUUGGGCGUAAAGGGUGCGUAGGCGGCGCGGUAAGUCGGGUGUGAAAUCUCGGGGCUUAACUCCGAAACUGCAUUCGAUACUGCCGUGCUUGAGGACUGGAGAGGAGACUGGAAUUUACGGUGUAGCGGUGAAAUUCGUAGAUAUUCGCAAGAACACCAGUGGCGAAGGCGGCUCACUGGCCCGGUACUGACGCUGAGGCACGAAAGCGUGGGGAGCAAACAGG
rnacentral:rRNA from 1 species